GUACAGGACACACGUAACAGACUCGAGUCACCGACCUCGUCAGACUGUCCGAUGGCCAAUUAUCGGGUUAGUGUGUCAGGGCCUUAAGGGCUGCCUGAGAAAGCUAUCAGACUGCUGCACCAAAACACCAACAAAAGGUGAAAGAACGGGGAAACCAGCACGUCUUCGCUUACUGGUCCGUUAAGCAUGAUAUCUCUUCUUUGCUUUGACCUCACAUCCAAAUGUAACCAAAGAGAGGGGACAAAAAAAAACAUUUUGAGUUGAAAUGACAAAAAGAAACAUGAGAUGAGAAAUCAGAAAUGAGAAA